AGUUUGAUCCUGGCUCAGGAUGAACGCUAGCUACAGGCUUAACACAUGCAAGUCGAGGGGCAGCAUUGGAGUAGCAAUACUUCAGAUGGCGACCGGCGCACGGGUGAGUAACACGUAUCCAACCUGCCGCUUACUCGGGGAUAGCCUUUCGAAAGAAAGAUUAAUACCCGAUGGUAUAAAGAGUUCGCAUGUUCUCUUUAUUAAAGAAUUUCGGUAAGCGAUGGGGAUGCGUUCCAUUAGAUUGUUGGCGGGGUAACGGCCCACCAAGUCUACGAUGGAUAGGGGUUCUGAGAGGAAGGUCCCCCACAUUGGAACUGAGACACGGUCCAAAUCCUACGGGAGGCAGCAGUGAGGAAUAUUGGUCAAUGGACGAGAGUCUGAACCAGCUAAGUAGCGUGAAGGAUGACUGCCCUAUGGGUUGUAAACUUCUUUUAUAAGGGAAUAAAGUGAGGGACGUGUCCCUUUUUGUAUGUACCUUAUGAAUAAGGAUCGGCUAACUCCGUGCCAGCAGUCGCGGUAAUACGGAGGAUCCGAGCGUUAUCCGGAUUUAUUGGGUUUAAAGGGAGCGUAGGUUGACGUAUAAGUCAGCUGUGAAAGUUUACGGCUCAACCGUGAAAUUGCAGUUGAUACUGUAUGUCUUGAGUGUACAAGAGGUGGGCGGAAUUCGUGGUGUAGCGGUGAAAUGCUUAGAUAUCACGAAGAACUCCAAUUGCGAAGGCAGCUCACUGGGGUACAACUGACACUGAGGCUCGAAAGUGUGGGUAUCAAACAGGAUUAGAUACCCUGGUAGUCCACACAGUAAACGAUGAAUACUCGCUGUUUGCGAUAUACAGUAAGCGGCCAAGCGAAAGCAUUAAGUAUUCCACCUGGGGAGUACGCCGGCAACGGUGAAACUCAAAGGAAUUGACGGGGGCCCGCACAAGCGGAGGAACAUGUGGUUUAAUUCGAUGAUACGCGAGGAACCUUACCCGGGCUUGAAUUGCAGAGGAAUAUAGUUGAAAGAUUAUCGCCGCAAGGUCUCUGUGAAGGUGCUGCAUGGUUGUCGUCAGCUCGUGCCGUGAGGUGUCGGCUUAAGUGCCAUAACGAGCGCAACCCUUAUCAUUAGUUACUAACAGGUCAUGCUGAGGACUCUAGUGAGACUGCCGUCGUAAGAUGUGAGGAANGUGGA
rnacentral:rRNA from 1 species